rnacentral:rRNA from 1 species
GACGAACGCUGGCGGCGUGCUUAACACAUGCAAGUCGAGCGAUGAAGCACCUUCGGUGUGAAUUAGCGGCGAGCGGGUGAGGAACACGUGAGAAAUCUGCCUUCAACUCUGGGAUAACUCCGUGAAAACGGGGCUAAUACCGGAUAUGAAACCUGCGGGCAUCCGCGGGUUUGGAAAGUUUUUCGGUUGAAGAUGAUCCCGCGGCCUAUCAGCUUGUUGGUGAGGUAAUGGCUCACCAAGGCGACGACGGGUAGCCGGCCUGAGAGGGCGACCGGCCACACUGGGACUGAGACACGGCCCAGACUCCUACGGGAGGCAGCAGUGGGGAAUAUUGGGCAAUGGAGGAAACUCUGACCCAGCGACGCCGCGUGCGGGAUGAAGGCCUUCGGGUUGUAAACCGCUUUCAGCAGGGAAGAAGCGAAAGUGACGGUACCUGCAGAAGAAGCACCGGCUAACUAUGUGCCAGCCGCCGCAGUAA